UACGUAGGGGGCUAGCGUUGUCCGGAAUCAUUGGGCGUAAAGAGCGUGUAGGCGGCCCGGUAAGUCCGCUGUGAAAGUCGGGGGCUCAACCCUCGAAUGCCGGUGGAUACUGUCGGGCUAGAGUGCGGAAGAGGCGAGUGGAAUUCAUGGUGUAGCAGUGAAAUGCGUAGAGAUCAUGAGGAACACCGGUGGCGAAGGCGGGUCUCUGGGCCGUAACUGACGCUGAGGAGCGAAAGCGUGGGGAGCGAACAGG
rnacentral:rRNA from 1 species